ensembl:lncRNA
AGGAGCAGCCCUAGAAAAGGCAAAAAGACAAAAAAAAAAAAAUCAUCUGUUCUGUUAUAUACUAGCAAUGAACAAUCUGGAAGUGAAGACAUUUUCAUUCACAGUAGCAUGAGAAGAAUAAAAUACUUAGAAAUAAACUUAUUAACAAGUUCAAGAAUUGUACGCUGAAAAUUACAAAGCACUGCUGAGAGAAAUUAAAGAAAAUACAAAUGAUCUAGAAUAUAGCCAAAACAGUCUUGGAAAAGGAAAACGAAGUUGAACUCACACUUCGCAUCUUCAGAACUUACUACAAAGCUACAACUCAUCAAGACAGUGUGGUUCUACAGAGGACACCCAGAUAGAACAAGGGAACGCAGCUGAGAGUCCAGAAAUAAACCCCUGGGGUUAUGGUCAACUGAUUUCAACGAGGACACCAAGAAUAGUCUUCUUGACAAAUGAUGCUGGGUCCAGAUCGUAUCUACAUGCAAAAGGAUGAAUUUGGACCCUUAUCUGUUAUACACAUGAACUAAAAACAGAGGACAGGCCUAAACUCUUGGAAGAAAACAGAGGUGUCAAUGCCCAGGACGUGGGGUCCAGUCAUGGUUAAGAUUCAAGAGCACAUGCAAUAAAGAACAAGCUGAUAAACUAGACUUCAAAAUAAAAACUUCUGUCCUUCAAAAGAAACCAGUAAAAAUGUGAAAAGACAAGCCACAAACUGGGAGAAAAAACCCUUGCGAAUCACUUAUCCGGUAAAGGACUUUCAUCCAGCAUAUACAAAAAUCUCUCUUAACUCAAUAAGAAGAAAAAUAAGCCAAUUUUAAAAUGGACAAAAGAUUCAAUCAGACAUCUCACCAAAGAAGACAGAUGAAUGGCCAACGAGCAAGCACAAGAAAUGCUCACCGUGGUCAGGGAAAUGCAGAGCAAACCACAAUGAGAUGCCGCUUUGCACACGCUCGAAGACUGUCACCCGAAAGAGAGGCAGCAUCAUGUGUCGUCACGGGCAGGGAGAAGCCAGAACCUGCACGCGCUGCUGGUGGGCAUGUAAGAUGGUGCAGCCACUUUGGAAACAGUUUGACAGUUUCUUAAAAAAAAAACUGAACAUGGAUUUACUGUAGAGCCAGCAGCUCCAUGAGAAAUGAAAGUGCAGGUCCACGCAGAGACUUGUACGUGAAUGUUCAGAGCAGCAUCGUUCAAAGUAAACAAACAGUGGAGCUAGAAAAGGAAGAAAUAAGAUGUGCGGCACAUCCACGCAGCGGAACAGCAUUCAGCAAUAACAAAGGAAGCCGGACACAAAAGACAGCAUAUCAGAAGAUUCUAUUUAUAUUAAAUGUCCAGAAAAGGCAGUCUGUAGAGACAGUAAGUGGCUUGGCGGCUGCCUAAGGCUGGGGGUAGGAGUAUAGGGAGUGACUGCAGGUUGACACGCGGUCUCUUUUUUGGGGUAGUGGGAUUGUUCUAAGAUGGAUUAUGAUGAUGGUUGUGUGAUGAUACAACUAUGCUGGAAAAAUCACUGAACUGUAUACUUUCAAUAUUACGUGAACUGUACUCAAAAAGCUGUUUAAAAAACUGAAGUAAAAAAAAAAAAAAA